AAGCAGAGGGGGCUUAGUGGUGGGGUGACUGCGUACCUUUUGUAUAAUGGGUCAGCGACUUAUAUUCUGUAGCAAGGUUAACCGAAUAGGGGAGCCGGAGGGAAACCGAGUCUUAAUUGGGCGUUAAGUUGCAGGGUAUAGACCCGAAACCCGGUGAUCUAGCCAUGGGCAGGUUGAAGGUUGGGUAACACUAACUGGAGGACCGAACCGACUAAUGUUGAAAAAUUAGCGGAUGACCUGUGGCUGGGGGUGAAAGGCCAAUCAAACCGGGAGAUAGCUGGUUCUCCCCGAAAGCUAUUUAGGUAGCGCCUCGUGAAUUCAUCUCCGGGGGUAGAGCACUGUUUCGGCUAGGGGGCCAUCCCGGCUUACCAACCCGAUGCAAACUGCGAAUACCGGAGAAUGUUAUCACGGGAGACACACGGCGGGUGCUAACGUCCGUCGUGAAGAGGGAAACAACCCAGACCGCCAGCUAAGGUCCCAAAGUCAUGGUUAAGUGGGAAACGAUGUGGGAAGGCCCAGACAGCCAGGAUGUUGGCUUAGAAGCAGCCAUCAUUUAAAGAAAGCGUAAUAGCUCACUGGUCGAGUCGGCCUGCGCGGAAGAUGUAACGGGGCUAAACCAUG
rnacentral:rRNA from 1 species